GUGGAGUGAUCGAGUACUAAACUUUUCUAAUGGCGACGAUGGCGACGGUCAUGGUACCGAAGAACUGAAAGGUUUCAUGUCAGCGUAGCCGGAUUUAUUGCAGUAGAUCUCCUCAUAUUCUCAUUCCCAUCUUGUAUACUUUGUGAGGUGAUCUAUCAAACGUGACCCAGGAAGCAUGCCGGCCGUGCGAGGAGAUGGGAUGCGAGGUCUCGCAGUCUUCAUUUCAGACAUCAGGAAUUG